rnacentral:rRNA from 1 species
UGGGGAAUUUUGGACAAUGGGCGCAAGCCUGAUCCAGCCAUGCCGCGUGCGGGAAGAAGGCCUUCGGGUUGUAAACCGCUUUUGUCAGGGAAGAAAUCUUCUGAGUUAAUACCUCGGGAGGAUGACGGUACCUGAAGAAUAAGCACCGGCUAACUACGUGCCAGCAGCCGCGGUAAUACGUAGGGUGCAAGCGUUAAUCGGAAUUACUGGGCGUAAAGCGUGCGCAGGCGGUUUUGUAAGACAGAGGUGAAAUCCCCGGGCUCAACCUGGGAACUGCCUUUGUGACUGCAAGGCUUGAGUGCGGCAGAGGGGGAUGGAAUUCCGCGUGUAGCAGUGAAAUGCGUAGAUAUGCGGAGGAACACCGAUGGCGAAGGCAAUCCCCUGGGCCUGCACUGACGCUCAUGCACGAAAGCGUGGGGAGCAAACAGGAUUAGAUACCCUGGUAGUCCACGCCCUAAACGAUGUCAACUGGUUGUUGGGAAGGUUCCUUCUCAGUAACGUAGCUAACGCGUGAAGUUGACCG